rnacentral:tRNA from 1 species
GACGCCGUGGCCGAGCGGUAAGGCGGCGGUCUGCAAAACCGUCUCACGUGGGUUCGAAUCCCACCGGCGUCU